rnacentral:lncRNA from 1 species
AGCGGGGUUCGGCCCUCGGGCUGCGGGAGGGGACUGCUGCCUUUUUCUUUGCGCCUUAAAACAAAGGCUGCAAAUAGGGUUCUGCGGGAUGAAGCAGGGCGGCGAACUCCUCAGAAAGCAGUGGGUUUUGUUUCCACAGUGAUUUAUGAAAAUUUUCGGACGGUAAUUUGUUAGCACGGUGUUCUCAGCCUUCCCAAUCAGCACUCCCAGAAAUGCUCGACAAGCGGCUCACUUCUUAUUCAUUUAUGCAACCGCAAAGAUUCCGUGUUGUCGAAGCCUGGCACUACAGAGGAGAGAGCUGUGACAGCCCGUGCCGGCUGCCCUGCCAGCCAAAAGCACUGCAGAAAUCUGCGUACCUGGCAUGUAACUUGCAGAUGCCUCCUCAUCCACCCGCUGGGUGCUCUGGGUGCUCAUCACCGACGGGACUCUAAUGGGGUCAAUGAGGUUUCUGCAAACCCAGUAUCUCAACUAGUGAAAAGCAGCCAGUCCCCAGUCUCCGGUGCCGCUUAAGGAGACUGAAUUUUGUACAAAGGGGAAACAAAAGGAAUGAAGCGGUCCAACCUGUGCAGCUUCUUGCAUAACCUCUGCUUCUGGGGGCUGUUUCAACCCUACCACACCCAAAGCGUGGCUCUCUGCAAACAUCGUACGGGCUGGAUGAGGUUUAUAGGAAGAGGUAACACCUUUCAUUUGACCAGUUAGGAUAGCUGGCAAAAUUAGACAGGGUUGCAAGCACAUAAAGAUUCCUUCUGUUGAGAUGGAAUAGCCUUCCUCCUGUUCUUCAAACUGACAACAACGACAACAACAAAAGAAUUGAAGGUUAAAUACACAUUGGAAUCAACUGCUUAAAGCUGAAUUAGUCUUCCUGCACUACACGUUUCCCCAUCACAAGGAAUUCUUAACUGUAAGAGAAGACCAGAGCUGUGGUGGUGUCCCAUCCCAUUCAUGUUUGCAGUCACUGUGAGAUACGCAGUAAGGCUGGAGACACUUUUCAUUGACAGCUCUGACAUAGAAACCUCGACCUCAUUGCAGUAGAAGUGCUCACAGUAUCUGCCUUCAGACUGCGAGGCUGGCCAAGCUAAGCUCCUUCAGUGACUACUCAGAAACUUACUCUAUCUGCAUAUUCCAGUCUGAAUUUUC